AGGAUAAACGCUGGCGGCGUGCCUAACGCAUGCAAGUCGAACGAUGCCUUCGGGCAUAGUGGCGGACGGGUGAGUAACACGUAGGAACCUGCCCGGAAGUGGGGGACAACUCCGCGAAAGCGGGGCUAAUACCGCAUACGGUCUACGGACCAAAGCCUUCGGGCGCUUUCGGAGGGGCCUGCGGCGGAUUAGCUAGUUGGUGGGGUAACGGCCUACCAAGGCGACGAUCCGUAGCUGGUCUGAGAGGAUGAUCAGCCACACUGGGACUGAGACACGGCCCAGACUCCUACGGGAGGCAGCAGCGAGGAAUUUUCCGCAAUGGCGAAAGCCUGACGGAGCAACGCCGCGUGGGGGAAGAAGGCCUUCGGGUUGUAAACCCCUGUUGCGAGGGAGAAGAUCUGACGGUACCUCGCGAGGAAGCCACGGCUAACUACGUGCCAGCAGCCGC
rnacentral:rRNA from 1 species